UCAAUGUACAAUGUUCAGAAAAGCCAAAGGACUGCUUACAGUUUAGGCCAAAUACACCAAAAAUAGCAUUGCAGAAUGAAAUGAAAGAGCGAUUAAUUUCAACCAUGCACAAAUUUCUUUAAGAGGGAUGAAACUACAGCGGUUGACCCCUUCAUCAUUUAUGAAAAGGACAUGAUCUGCACUGCCCACAAUCAACAUAUAACAAGCAGGGGCCUUGGAAUCCUUUAGCAUGCUGUUCUAUUGACAGGAAAGGGACAAGAGCCAGACCCCCACAAGAUAAGUGGAUGAAAGGAAAUCCAUUCAUUAUAACAUUUAACCAAACUACAGAGGCAAUAUGUGAAACUAUUAGAAAACUUAUAAUACCAACAGAAUAACCGAAGAAAACCACUAAAACCUUAUUAAACUUGAGAAACGAAACAAUAAAAAAGAAUGGAAAACUUGCUACAGCUUGAUCAAGUUGAAAUUUAAGAUUGAAACUACUUCAGUAUUAAGGUAGGUUUAUGAUAGGUAGACCCAAAUUAUAGAUGGAUUGGCAAAAGCAAUUAGUACCUUAAGAUAGAAUAAUAGGUUUCGUAUUUUAGCACUUACAUACAACGAAUAGUCGAUUACAGCAUGCUGUUUCCAGCAAUGGGUAGCAAUAACCCUAUCUAACAUCAAAGAUCAGUUCAAGAAGGAAUUAUCAUUCCAGAAGCAGGCAAACACAACACAUUUAUGAUGUAUGUCCUUUCUGUGUGCAAUGCAUGGAAUUCCUCAUUCAGAACCGAUUCUUAACUUCCCAUACCACAAGCUAGCACAUUAUUUAUUAGGAGUCCAUUUUGCAUGACUUUUACAAAUUGAAUUAAGAUGCUUUUGACUUUUGAUCAAAGAAAAGUCACAAUUAUGUUUACUCAAAAAUAACUUCAAUAACAAAAAUUUCUUAUAAAUUUGAGUCAAGAUUUUGCUUUAUCAAAAGUUAAACUUGUAACCUCCAACUUUUUUGAUUCUACGUUUUGCCAUCUCCAUUAUUCAAAGAAAUUGCUUUGUGUUUUGAAAAAACAUACUUCUAUCUUGAAUUAUUUGUAUCACAAGUAUUCUACAAAGAAGAUAAACUUAUGAGAAGAUAUUGUCCCGGUACCAUUCUACCUUGUCAAGAUGACACCAAACCUUGAGCAGUUCAUUAGCUGAAGUGUAGCUCAUGAAAGAGAGUUAACAUUUGAGGUAUAACUAUUGACUUGAGAAAGACACAUACAAAUAAUUUUAUCCUAAAAUGUUCUUGCAAGCCCAUGAGUUGUCUCUAACACAAGAUGGCAGUUUUACUUCUCUUAGACAAAUUAUAUUGGAUCAUCUAUAGAUUCAUCAACCUUAUUGCUCAGAUAAAAGUGGCAGUAGAUUCAGAAAUUUGUUAAAUUAAAAAUUUCCUCAAGCAAGGGGAUCAUCCCAACACCAGAAUAAUAUUUCAACAGAACAGAAAAAUUGGCUGACUGGUCAACAUGUAUGACAUGAGCCAAAGCAGAAAGCAGUACAAACAUGAUCAGGAUGCACCAUCAUUCUGGACUUAAACUAGAAAACGAGCCAAUGAAGCCAAAGCGGUGGAUAAAAAUGAGAUGUCAUCCCGUCACAGUGAACAGAUUGAAUACUCGUUAUAAAUGACAAAUCCAAACAAAUUCCAGACCCUGAUUCCUAUUAUGGUUUUGUACAAGAAAAAGGCCUGGCAUCAGUGUGCUUAAGUUUUGAGAGAGCAAAGACAUAAAUGUUAAAGAGGGAGGGGGUGGGAAAGAGAUGCGAGUGAAUACGCAGAUUAUUUGGAAAUUUGCAGCCACUCAUGAAUCAUGAGUUCACCCAAAGAGAGAGACGGUGUCUGGUUUCAAGAAUCACAUGACUAUGCUACUAUUGUCCAGUUUCAAGAAUCACAGGACUAUGAUACUAUUCACGCUAGUACUUGGCUUUAUUGAACUCAUCUUAAGCCCUAAACUUUUAUGCUUAUGUGUGGUUGGCAUGAAGAAGCUGCCAUCAAAGUAGUAGCAGAGUUGAUCAGUGAUAGCAACAAAGCAUACAAAAGUUUAACCUUGGUGACAGGGGACCGGUAUGGUUAAGUCAAAUGACACAAUCGCAUAACCUUAUAACCAAAAAAUUUACCACUCAAACACAGGCAUUAUGUCAAGAAAAUAAAUAGCAACCAAUUAACUCAAUCUCCAAACAAAGAAAGAUAUAGUUAUUAAUAUUUAAACCAACUCCACCACAAAUAGACAGUGAAACUAUUCGGCAAUAACUAUAUCAAGAAAGUAUAUCUUGCAGAAAGGCAAGCCAGAUGACUUUGCUAAGAAAGAAAUAUCUUGAAAUAUGAGCAACAUGUACUUGUCCAACAUUAACCUGAAUAGAUUUUGAAAUGACAAAUACUAUCAAACAUGUCAAAUUGCAAGAUUAAAGAAAAGGGAACAUCACAAGCAAGAAAUCAAUAACAAGAAACUACCAAUUGAUACCCAGACUAUAUCAUCAUUAUUAUUAGUAAAAAAAGAUAGCUCAAACCAUCUCAGGCAUGCAUUUUUAUCUAUUAUCACAAUUCAUCCAUGACCGAGGUUUUUUUACUCAAAAAAGAAAGUUACAUCAAUUACUCUAAAAGUUAUAAACCAAAAAAAAAA